rnacentral:lncRNA from 1 species
CUUUCAGCCUCAUGUUUGGUAGCACUGCAUCAAGCAUCUUUCCCCCCACAUUCUCAAAGUAAAUGUCAAUACCAUCAGGAAAAUACCUGCAGGUUAGCCAAAAACAACUUUAAACAAGAUGUAUAUUCCCAAAAUGAGGUACACAUGCGCAGCAUGAGACCAGACACUUUGUUUUCCCCUUGUGUUUCUAGAUUGAAUUCAGACUCUUAUUAAUGCCUGUGGAGGGUUUGUACCUCCAAAUCCAAUAUUGGAAAAACGAACCAGUCUAGUGUCACUGUAAUUAGAAUAAACAAAGAUCCUAGACUAAGUCAAAGCAUUAAGCAUAUUUUGGAUUCCGACUGCUAAGAGAUAUAUUACAUUCUCACCUUCUUAAAGCUGCAUCCAGGUCAGGUUCGUCUUUAUAGUUGAAAGCCUCAUCAAAUCCGAAUUUGUUCUUCAGCAGAUCAACCUGAGAUCCCAUGUUAACACAGUAGAUAAAAGGGUACGAAGUAUUCUGAAUAUCAGGAUAUUCAGAUAUACAAUGAAUACAGGUCAUCAGGUUCACAGUCUAUGUAGUAUAUUACAGUAUUAGAGGCAUAUCAGAUGAGGCGAAAAAACAGUAGAACUGCUUUAGAUUGAGUGCAGCAGCUACAAGAAUAAGACUAAAUUGAUAACACUUCUAUUUGUAUGUAGGUAAUUGAUCACCAUAAUAGUACUUCCCAAUAAUGUCUCCAUCUUUGAAUUCCAAGAAUUUGGUACACAUCACUAUAGACAUACACAUUUAACAUCACUAUAGACAUACACAUUUAACAUAAAAAUAGUCAUACAAUUGAGUCAAAGAUAUGGAAUCCCAACUAAAACAUUCACUGAUCUACGAGUACCAGUAACUAACCUUUUUCUUGCUUCCAGCACUCCCAACAACAUAGCAACCUGUCAACUUUGCAAAUUGGCCAACAAGCUGACCUACUGCUCCAGAUGCGGCUGAAAUGUAGAUAGUCUCUCCUUUCUUAGGAGAGCAAAACUCAAAAAACCCAGCAUAAGCAGUCAAUCCAGCCAUACCUACGUAACAUAUGAAUACGUCAGAUGAGCCCAAACAACCAAUAGACUCCAACAAGAGAUCUCAUGAGGGAACAAUAAACAAUAUGCACAAAAAAAUAUUGACACAAGCUGUCAACUUGUGACUAUAGCAUGAAACUUUUAUGUUCUCUGCUCGUGCAUGAAAAGUAGCUAAUACAAUCAGCUGCACAAAAAACUAUUGCCCCAACUUAACUCAAGGGGUUAGGUGUUGAGAUUGGUGUUCAUUCUCAUGCAACUAGAAACCAUGCAAAAGGUGAUGCAACAAAUAUUGACUUGGUGAAUAGCUAGCUAUGAUAUAUAGCUAUACAAAGCUUUAAAUGAUGUUUGUAGAAAUUGAAGGUGAAGAGUUAGUCUUCAAUGGUGUGCUCCUGCUUUUGUAAUAGGAGGGAAGAAAAAGGCUUUGCCUUUUUCACAUGAAUGGAUGUUGCCUAUAAAUUGGCUGCAUGGAAACCAUUUGAAGCAUGCAAGCAAGUCUGCAUCAAGUAAGCAUCAGACAAGCAAUAGAGAGCUUGUGGGUUGUGCAUGAGAGUGAGAGAGAAAAAAGUGCUACGAGGGAAAUUCUCUUAGGUGAGAUAUAGUGUUCUUGGGUAUUCUAUGAGUGAGGGUGUACAAGGGUUUGGGAUUUGGGUCAUGAGAUUUAACUCAUGUAUCUUGUACUAGUUUUUUUCUCAUAGUGGAAGAGUUAUAUCUUGGGGUGGACGUAGGCAGGAAAUUUGCCGAACCACGUUAAAUCUCGUGUCAACUGUUUUUCAUUCUUGUUUGUUAUUCUACUUUAUUGCAGUGUUGUUGGGUGUGUCUGUUUCUGAAUCUCAACAUUAGGCCCUCAAGAGCUGCAAGGUAACUAAUUGUGGGGUUUGUGGCUAAUCAAAUUAGCACAUUAGACUAAAGACUUGGGAGGUCUAUAAGUAACACAAACCAGUUUGUUAGUUACAAAAAAGUAGAAAGCAAGAGAAGUAGGCAAUACCGAGAAGUCCAGUAUAGUAAGAGAGAGGCACAUCAGUGUGGUGAAUUUUAAACAGAGACUCUGUGGCAGUGAUGACACUAUAUUCUUCCCAGCCAGUAGGACCCCAAACCAAGUCGCCUGGCUUAAACUUUGGAUCCCCAGAUUCCAGGACUUUAGCGACUCCAUAACCAGUUACAGUCUGCAACAUUCCAAAUUUUCUUAAAUUAGCUCUAUAUAUGCAAAUCUCUGAAUAAAGCACACACAUUUUUUGUUAUUCCAAAUUAUCUCAUGCAUUACAAUUUUAUAUCAUUGUCCUUAUAUCACCUGGCCCCCAAACCUGGAAUUAAAAAUCUCUCAUCCACAUGACCCAAAGAAGCGAAUUUACAGAAAAAAUGAUAAAUAAAAGGGAUCUGCUAGAAGACACCUGGCCGGGGUUGAAGGAUUGGACAUAAGAGGGCCUGUCGUGCUUGGUCAUAUGGCCGCGUAAGUAAGGAUCGCAGGACAAGUAUAGGUUCUUGACGACAAGGCCAGUCGACCCUUGUGGAAGCUUGAGUUUGGCUGUGGACGUCCUCAAUUCCAUGUCGGAUUCUUUGGGGAACCCGGUCACAUAGUCUUUGAAUAUCACCUGCUUGUUACUCACUUCCACUCCGUCACUCGCCAUUUUCAGCUUCUCUCUCCUCUCUGUGUCUCUCUACAACCGUAACUGAAGAAGAUGAGGGCGAUACGAGCAAUAUAUGCCAGGAAAUAUAGUAAUCACUGUAAUUUCUUACCUUACUAUGAUGUCACAGCCCAGCUCUCUCUGGAAUUUUCUGUUUAGAAUCAAAACAAAUUUCUUGGACAAUAAAUUUCACAUUUUUGUCACGUUUGGUUUCUUCAAUGCCGCUGACAGCAUUGGCGGAGCCAAUGAAGGACCGGUGAGGGCCUGUGCACAAGGACCGGUGAGGGCCUGUGCGCCUAGAGAAAUAUUGAAUUUCAUUGGUUAAUCUUCUUUGUGCCUCUGGAUAAAUAUUGAAUUUCAUUGGCUAAUCUUCUUUGUGCCCCCACAACAAUUCAUCUUCUUCUACUUCGAUUGGGAUUAUGCCUAGUUUCUCUUCUAUAGUUCUAUUUCUUGUAUUUGGGCUUUAGCUUUUUAGACUGGGUUUUUGGAAUGUGUCUCUUAAUUUCCACAAAAAAGCUAGACUAAGACAAAAGUCAUUAUUAAUUUGAAUUAAUGGGAUAUUUUUAACCUGAAGAAUGAACACUGUGGUCAUGGUAUGUAUGAACGUUAAGUUUUGGUUGGGAGCUGUGUAGAUUAUGUAGACAAAUUCUGGGUUUGCAAACUUCAAUUUUUGUACACACAAGUUACAGAGAGGAUUCAAAGCACCAAGGUGCACUUAAACCAAGAUGAAUAGACCGUUGGAUUACAUUUAUCUUAUUAUUUAAUAUUUAAAUAAAAAGUUAAGUAGAAAUAUCAACGGUUAAGAUUUUCUAAUAAAUACUUGGUUCACUUGUACCUUGGUAUAUGCAAGAAUUUUCGCACAAGUUAGCCACAGGUAAUGCUUAUAGUUGUGCGUAUAUAUAUAUAUAUAUUAGUAUAAUUUAGCGGUAAGAAAUUUUUGUGCCCCCAUUGAUAUAUUUUUCUGGCUCCGUCACUGGUUGACAGUACGACGUCCCUGCUUACGUCAACAGUUCAUUGCUGUCCUCUUGCACUAUGUUGUUACCAUUUCUGGGGUACAAGUUUCAUUUUUUUACUUGUAAAUUGCAAUUCAAUACAAACACAAGGAUGGUUUGGAGGACAGGUUGGUUUGGAGGACAGCAAAGGAUGGAACUCAAUAGUUUUGUGGAAAUACAUGCAUGGAAAACUACAACCUGAUGAUAUUCGACAACCUCGUGGCUACCAUUUGUCUUCAAUCUGCUUCCUCUGUCAUAAUAAUGUUGAGACUGCAGAGCACCUCUUCUUGCAUUGUUAUUUUGCAACUAAUAUCUGGGAAAAUCUUUUGGAUUUGUUUCAGGUUCGGGGUAUUUUCAAUGAUAUUAUUUCUUUCUUUACCUACCCUAUAUGUCAUGUUUAUAGCUCUCAGUUAACUCUGCUAUGGUGGGGAAUGAUUGGUGCUGGUUUUUAUGCUAUUUGACAUGUAAGGAAUGCUCUUCGUUUUCAAGAGUCAAUCAUAUUUUCAGGUUCCUUACUCCAUUCUAUUAAGAUGCAACUUCAUGAGAUUAAUCUUUUGAGUAAGGGCACAAUGAAGAAUACUGUAGACGAGCUUUGCAUUUUGCAUUGCAUUGGUAUUAGGGGCAGGCCAUCUAAAGCGCCAAAAAUUGUUGAAGUUAUGUGGCAUGUUCCCUUUAUUUAUUAAGUCAAGCUCAACACUGAUGGUGCGGCUCGUUGCUCUCCUGGUGUGGCAUUUUUCGAGAUCAUUUGGGUCGGGUUUUAGGUUGUUUUUCAAGAAAUCUUGGUUUUGCUACUGUAUUAGAAGCCGAGCUGCAAGCUGUCAUUCACGCCAUUCAAAUGGCUGCACAAAGAGGUUGGCUUUCUAGUUGGAUUGAAUUGAAAGUGAUUCUACUUUAGUGAUUCAUUUUCUUUCUUCAUUUCAAGUUGAUGUACCUUGGCGUUUCACUACUGAAUGGUUUAACUGUCGAGCUAUUCUUGCUACUAUGACUAUUAAUUAAAGUAUCUCAUAUUUAUCAGGGGGAUAACAGUGUUGCGAACUGCUUAGCUAAUUUUGGUGCGGAUAAUGCGGGAGUUUAUUGGUGGGAUUCAUGUCCAUCUUGUGCAAUUACAGCUUAUUCACGUGAUUUAGCAAGUAUUCCCAACUAUCGUUUUAGUUUGUGAUCUUUUAUUGGUCUUUUAAUUUGUAACUCUUCUUCUUUUUUCCGGAAGGGGUCUUGGUCUAUGUCUUUUUCUUUUUUUUUCUUUUUUUAUGAGGGGAGGAAAUUACAAGGAGAAGCCUCUACAACAACCUAUACUAAAACGAUCAAAAUUAAAGGCAUUAAGUGUGGAGAGCGAGAGCUUGCGAUUCCAGAGAGUUGGAUUUGGGACUGAUGCCCCAAGCUAGCCAUUGCAUUGGUCACAAAAUUUGCUUCCCGAGAGACAUACUUGAAGGUGAUCUCUUCAAACUUGGAAGCCAUCCAGCCAACAUCACUAAAAAGAGUACGGAGUCUCCAAAGAGAAAGGGGGGGGGGACCUGUUGUUAAUAAGGUCAAUAAUAAGCUUAGAAUCACCCUCAACUUGGACACGCCGGAUGUCGUUGCAAAGCGCAUGGAACAGACUGUCUCGAAGAGUACUACAAUAUUCAGCAAUAAGAACAUUGGAGUUACCCACACAACGAGAGCCAGCUAAAAUUGGAUUGCCCUCAUGGUUUCUGAUUACAAACCCAGCAUCAGCCUUCUUGUUGUGGCAGACGGAACCAUCAAAGUUGAGCUUGACAAGAUUACAUGGAGGCGGGAGCCAUUUGAUGGAGGAACUUGCUGGAAUGGCAAAUCCAUUGGAGUUGGUCUUGUGGCCUCUAGUAGUCGGAUUAUGGCUUAUGUAAUCAUUACUAGAAGAAGCAACAACAUGCACAACAACAAAGUUGGGGUUGGGCGUGCAUCCUCUAAAAAUAUAAUUGUUUCAGGCCUCCCAUAAUUUCCAGCAAAGGAGAAUGCAGUUUUCAGCUGUUUCUUUAUCUUUUUCCUUCCUGAACAGGGAAAGAAACCAGUCAUAGAAAGAUGAAUAAUCAAAAGCAUUAGUACCAAUCAUAUUCCAAAUACUCAUAGCAAAAGGGCAGGAGAAGAAGAGGUGGUUUAAAUCCUCCUCCCCAUUGCUACAGAGAGUACAAGAAGAGCUAAUAGUGUUUGAGUAACGAGCUAAUCUAGCCCUUGUUUUCAGCGUCUCUCUAGCCAGGAGCCAAGCAAAAAUUUUUGCUCUGGGAGGGAUAUUCAACUUCCAGAUGGCGGUUUUGGUCUAUGUCCCCCACUCCUUUUCUGUACUCUUUUGUUUCUCUUUUUUCAAUAAAUAACUGAAACCGAGCGUAUGGCUGAGCCUCCCAACUUGGCUGGGAUCCAAACCCUUAAAAAAAAAAUACAAACACAAGGUACAGAAAUCCUUGGAGGCACAGCUUCUUCACCAGAUCAAGAUGACAGUAACUACAAUUUAAGCAGAUCGAACAGGAAACAUGUAGCCAUCUUUCAUGUAUGAAAGGUCCAAAUACUAAACUCUACUUGUGUCCCUCAGACUACAUUUAUUUAUCUUGCCGAAAUGUAAAAUUUGAAGUUUCAGUUUCUCAUGAGUUUCAUUGAGAUAAAUCCAUUGAUGUAGCUAGUCAUUCAUUCUCAGGAAACAACAAGCACCUGCUUUCCUACAUUGCGGCCAGCAAAGAGGCCAAGCAAAGCCGAUGGAGCAUUCUCCAGGCCUUCAACAACAUCUUCAACGUAUGCUUGCCUUCUUUUAUGUAAGGCAGAACGAAUUCGAGAAACUUGCCGUAGAUAGGAAAGUAUUUUGCAACCAGGCAGUUUUAUUUGAUGUCCAAGCAGAUCUUAGCAACUUUGCUUCCAAGCAGAGAAGCCAAGUCCAUUUCGGAUACACUUCAUUCCAGUUAUGGGCUCACGCUUCACCCGACGACGACGUUGGUGCUUACAUCAUCCACCUCUACUUACUUACGAGGCCCAACCCAACCUAACCCUACCCUACCAAACCCAGCCCAGCAUCCCCAGCUGUAUCUGAGGCAUUCACCAGCCAACUUACACAUGCCCAAUAUGCCCCAACAACAAAAACAAAAAGAACUUUGCAGCAGAACACAAGAGUUUGAUUCCAUUGUCUUAUGUUCUAUCAAUCUCCUAGUAUUAGUGGUAUUCUUCAUUUUCUUUUCAGCAACUACUGUGUUGGUUGCAUUAUGCGUUAUUCUUUUGGAAGUUUUUUAAUUGUUUUAAUUUUAUAUGUCUUAAAUCUUCCAUAUAACUAGAUCUACGUCUCUUACAAAAGUCGUUUUAUACCUACAAGAAUGUUGUCAUUUCAAAAACUGGAGGAUGCAUAAGUGCAUUCAUAUCUUCUUCUCAAUAUUAUAUCACACACUGCCUUUCUCUUCAUACUUGAUAAUAGUAUAAAACUAUUGUGAAAAUCAUGCUACAUUUAUUAGGAUGAGACAGCUCUCAGGAUGAGACAGCUCUCCUCAACACAAAAUGCAAUAUCCAAAGCAAGCUAACCAUAUACCUGAUACAAAGUUCAUUACAUACACCAAGGUGCACUGCAGAUGGGCUUAAACAACUUAACAUAAAAACAAAUGUCUCGGACUUCAGAAGUACAGAUGGAGCCGGAUUAGUAAUCACUCCCUGGAAACUACAACAACCUGCUUUCCCACGUUGCGGCCAGCAAAGAGCCCAAUUAGAGCUGCAGGAGCGUUCUCAAGGCCCUCAACUACAUCUUCCACAUAUGUAAUCUUCCCUUCUUUUAUGGCAGGCAACACUGUUUCAAGAAACUUUCCAUACAGAUGAUAGUAACUGAACACCAGGAAACCUUCCAUGCGGACCUGCUUAACAAUCAAAGACAUCAAAUUAUGUAUGCCUUCAGGCUUCUCCAAGUUGUACUGAGAUAUCAUCCCACACACUGCUAUUCGCCCUUUCAGCCUCAUGUUUGGUAGCACUGCAUCAAGCAUCUUUCCCCCCACAUUCUCAAAGUAAAUGUCAAUACCAUCAGGAAAAUACCUGCAGGUUAGCCAAAAACAACUGUAAACAAGAUGUAUAUUCCCAAAAUGAGGUACACAUGCGCAGCAUGAGACCAGACACUUUGUUUUCCCCUUGUGUUUCUAGAUUGAAUUCAGACUCUUAUUAAUGCCUGUGGAGGGUUUGUAUCUCCAAAUCCAAUAUUGGAAAAACUAACCAGUCUAGUGUCACUAUAAUUAGAAUAAACAAAGAUCCUAGACUAAGUCAAAGCAUUAAGCAUAUUUUGGAUUCCGACUGCUAAGAGAUAUAUUACAUUCUCACCUUCUUAAAGCUGCAUCCAG